rnacentral:rRNA from 1 species
CUUCAGGGAUGUUUGGAUAACUGUGGCAAUUCUAGAGCUAAUACAUGCAAUCAAGCUCCAACCUUCGUGGGACGAGCGCUCUUAUUAGACCAAGGCCAACCUGCUGGGCAACUGGCAGUUAGCUGUGGUGACUCUGGAUAAACAUAGUUGAUCGCACGACUUUACGUCGGCGACGUAUCUUUCAAGCGUAUGCCCUAUCAGCUGUCGACGGUAGGGUAGCGGCCUACCGUGGCAUCAACGGGUAACGGGGGAUCAGGGUCCGAUCCCGGA